rnacentral:rRNA from 1 species
UACGUAGGGGGCAAGCGUUGUCCGGAGUUACUGGGCGUAAAGCGCACGCAGGCGGUCGGCUGCGUAGGUGGUGACAGUCCUCGGCUUACCUGAGGAAGCGCUGCCUAAACGGGUCGACUUGAGGGCCAGAGGGGGACACGGAACUCCGGGUGGAGCGGUGAAAUGCGUAGAGAUCCGGAAGAACACCAAAGGCGAAGGCAGUGUCCUGGCUGGCUCCUGACGCUCAGGUGCGAAAGCUAGGGGAGCAAACAGG